rnacentral:rRNA from 1 species
AAUGAACGCUGGCGGCGCGCCUAAUACAUGCAAGUCGAGCGAGAAGACGUAGCAAUACGUUUGUAAAGCGGCGAACGGGUGAGGAAUACAUGGGUAACCUACCCUCGAGUGGGGAAUAACUAGCCGAAAGGUUAGCUAAUACCGCGUACGCUUCUUGGACUUCGGUUCAGGGAGGAAAGCGAUGCCGAGGGUAUCGCGCUCUUGGAUGGGCUCAUGUCCUAUCAGCUUGUUGGGAGGUAACGGCUCACCAAGGCUUCGACGGGUAGCUGGUCUGAGAGGACGAUCAGCCACACUGGCACUGCGACACGGGCCAGACUCCUACGGGAGGCAGCAGUAAGGAAUAUUGCGCAAUGGGCGAAAGCCUGACGCAGCGACGCCGCGUGGGGGAUGAAGGUCUUCGGAUUGUAAACCCCUUUCGGGAGGGAAGAUGGAAUGGGGUAACCCGAUUCGGACGGUACCUCCAGAAGCAGCCAC